rnacentral:rRNA from 1 species
UUUUAUGAGAGUUUGAUCCUGGCUCAGGACGAACGCUGGCGGCGUGCCUAAUACAUGCAAGUCGAACGCUUCUUUUUCCACCGGAGCUUGCUCCACCGGAAAAAGAAGAGUGGCGAACGGGUGAGUAACACGUGGGUAACCUGCCCAUCAGAAGGGGAUAACACUUGGAAACAGGUGCUAAUACCGUAUAACAAUCAAAACCGCAUGGUUUUGAUUUGAAAGGCGCUUUCGGGUGUCGCUGAUGGAUGGACCCGCGGUGCAUUAGCUAGUUGGUGAGGUAACGGCUCACCAAGGCCACGAUGCAUAGCCGACCUGAGAGGGUGAUCGGCCACAUUGGGACUGAGACACGGCCCAAACUCCUACGGGAGGCAGCAGUAGGGAAUCUUCGGCAAUGGACGAAAGUCUGACCGAGCAACGCCGCGUGAGUGAAGAAGGKUUUCGGAUCGUAAAACUCUGUUGUUAGAGAAGAACAAGGAUGMGAGUAACUGUUCAUCACUUUACGGUAUCUAACCAGAAAGCCACGGCUAACUACGUGCCAGCAGCCGCGGUAAUACGUAGGUGGCAAGCGUUGUCGGGA